rnacentral:rRNA from 1 species
AAAUUGAAGAGUUUGAUCAUGGCUCAGAUUGAACGCUGGCGGCAGGCCUAACACAUGCAAGUCGAACGGUAGCACAGAGAGCUUGCUCUCGGGUGACGAGUGGCGGACGGGUGAGUAAUGUCUGGGAAACUGCCUGAUGGAGGGGGAUAACUACUGGAAACGGUGGCUAAUACCGCAUAACGUCGCAAGACCAAAGAGGGGGACCUUCGGGCCUCUUGCCAUCAGAUGUGCCCAGAUGGGAUUAGCUUGUUGGUGAGGUAACGGCUCACCAAGGCGACGAUCCCUAGCUGGUCUGAGAGGAUG